rnacentral:rRNA from 1 species
CCUACGGGCGGCAGCAGUGGGGACUAUUGGACAAUGGGCGAAAGCCUGAUCCAGCCAUGCCGCGUGUGUGAAGAAGGCCUUCGGGUUGUAAAGCACUUUCAGUGGGGAAGAAAGCCUUGGGGCUAAUACCCUCGAGGAAGGACAUCACCCACAGAAGAAGCACCGGCUAACUCCGUGCCAGCAGCCGCGGUAAUACGGAGGGUGCGAGCGUUAAUCGGAAUUACUGGGCGUAAAGCGCGCGUAGGCGGUCUGAUAAGCCGGUUGUGAAAGCCCCGGGCUCAACCUGGGAACGGCAUCCGGAACUGUCAGGCUAGAGUGCAGGAGAGGAAGGUAGAAUUCCCGGUGUAGCGGUGAAAUGCGUAGAGAUCGGGAGGAAUACCAGUGGCGAAGGCGGCCUUCUGGACUGACACUGACGCUGAGGUGCGAAAGCGUGGGUAGCAAACAGGAUUAGAUACCCGGUAGUC